CCUACGGGAGGCAGCAGUGGGGAAUAUUGGACAAUGGGGGAAACCCUGAUCCAGCGACGCCGCGUGUGUGAAGAAGGCCUGCGGGUUGUAAAGCACUUUUAGUGGGGAUGAAAAGCUCAGGGCUAAUACCUCUGGGUCCUGACCUAACCCAAAGAAAAAGCACCGGCUAACUCUGUGCCAGCAGCCGCGGUAAUACAGAGGGUGCGAGCGUUAAUCGGAAUUACUGGGCGUAAAGGGCGCGCAGGCGGCGCGAGAAGUCAGGUGUGAAAGCCCCGGGCUCAACCUGGGAGGUGCACUUGAUACUCGAGGGCUGGAGUACGGGAGAGGAGAGUGGAAUUCCCAGUGUAGAGGUGAAAUUCGUAGAUAUUGGGAAGAACACCGGUGGCGAAGGCGGCUCUCUGGACCGUAACUGACGCUGAGGCGCGAAAGCGUGGGGAGCAAACAGGAUUAGAUACCCUGGUAGUCCACGCUGUAAACGAUGUGCGCUAGACGUUGGAGGACGUAGUCUUCCGGUGUCGCAGCAAACGCGGUAAGCGCACCGCCUGGGGAGUACGGCCGCAAGGUUAAAACUCAAAGGAAUUGACGG
rnacentral:rRNA from 1 species